rnacentral:rRNA from 1 species
UACGGAGGGUGCAAGCGUUAUCCGGAUUCACUGGGUUUAAAGGGUGCGUAGGCGGGCAGGUAAGUCCGUGGUGAAAUCUCUGAGCUUAACUCAGAAACUGCCAUGGAUACUAUUUGUCUUGAAUGUUGUGGAGGUAAGCGGAAUAUGUCAUGUAGCGGUGAAAUGCUUAGAUAUGACAUAGAACACCAAUUGCGAAGGCAGCUUACUACACAAAUAUUGACACUGAUGCACGAAAGCGUGGGGAUCAAACAGG